AUACUUACCUGGGCGGAGGGUAACCUCGAUCAAGUAGGGGGUUCCCUCAUGGCGAGGCCGUACCAUUGCACACCGGCGCGGCUGACCUGUGUCUCUUUGCCAAAUCGGUGGAGUGUCCGUCGCAAUUUCUGAUAGUGGGGUUCUGCGUUCGCGCGAACCCCUU
rfam:Oikopleura dioica, whole genome shotgun assembly, reference scaffold set, scaffold scaffold_5